GCUGUAGCUCAGUGGUAGAGCAUCUGCUUUGUGUGGAGAAGAUCACAGGUUCAAUCCCUGGCAUCUCCA